UACGAAGGGAGCUAGCGUUGUUCGGAAUUACUGGGCGUAAAGGGCGCGUAGGCGGACACUUAAGUCAGGGGUGAAAUCCCAGGGCUCAACCCUGGAAUUGCCUUUGAUACUGGAUGUCUGGAGUUCGGGAGAGGUGAGUGGAGUUCCGAGUGUAGAGGUGAAAUUCGUAGAUAUUCGGAGGAACACCAGAAGCGAAGGCGGCUCACUGGCCCGAUACUGACGCUGAGGCGCGAAAGCGUGGGGAGCAAACAGG
rnacentral:rRNA from 1 species